AGCUCCGGUGGCCUAGUGGUUAGAGCGUCCGUCCCAGAUGCGCGAGAUCGUGGGUUCCUACCCCACCCGAGUCA